rnacentral:rRNA from 1 species
UACGUAGGGGGCAAGCGUUGUCCGGAAUUAUUGGGCGUAAAGCGCGCGCAGGCGGCCGUUUAAGUCUGAUGUUUAAGCCCGGGGCUCAACCCCGGAUCGCAUUGGAAACUGGGUGGCUGGAGUGCAGAAGAGGAGAGUGGAAUUCCACGUGUAGCGGUGAAAUGCGUAGAGAUGUGGAGGAACACCAGUGGCGAAGGCGACUCUCUGGACCGAGACUGACGCUGAGGCGCGAAAGCGUGGGGAGCAAACAGG